rnacentral:misc_RNA from 1 species
UUUCCGUAGGUGAACCUGCGGAAGGAUCAUUGUCGAAACCUGCCCAGCAGAACGACCCGCGAACUUGUAUAAACAACUGGGGGCGGGGGGCGUUCUCGCCCCGUGCCCCCGAACGGCGGGGAGACACUCGUGCCUUCUUGCCGAACAACGAACCCCGGCGCGGUCUGCGCCAAGGAACUUCAACUAAAGAGUGCCUCCGGUCGCCUCGGAAACGGCGUGCGUGCCGGAGGCGAAUCUUGUGCAAAUCCAUAACGACUCUCGGCAACGGAUAUCUCGGCUCUC